AGGAACGCUACCAUGUCAUUUUGUCUUUGUGAAGUACAACGUCCACGAAUAAAGGCGUUCGCUUCAAGCCAGCUCAAAUGGAGUCACAUCUGUGAUGGCAUCAGCUUCCGCUGGAGAGAGACCUACUUUGCUUUUACAGCCAGGCACUGAAGCCCAUGAGGACAAUCCAGCAAGCCCCUCCCAAAGCAGCGAUGAAGGCCGGCUGCUUC